UGGGGGGGUGCUAAUACUGCAGUCGAACGCUUCUUUUUCCACCGGAGCUUGCUCCACCGGAAAAAGAGGAGUGGCGAACGGGUGAGUAACACGUGGGUAACCUGCCCAUCAGAAGGGGAUAACACUUGGAAACAGGUGCUAAUACCGUAUAACAAUCGAAACCGCAUGGUUUUGAUUUGAAAGGCGCUUUCGGGUGUCGCUGAUGGAUGGACCCGCGGUGCAUUAGCUAGUUGGUGAGGUAACGGCUCACCAAGGCGACGAUGCAUAGCCGACCUGAGAGGGUGAUCGGCCACAUUGGGACUGAGACACGGCCCAAACUCCUACGGGAGGCAGCAGUAGGGAAUCUUCGGCAAUGGACGAAAGUCUGACCGAGCAACGCCGCGUGAGUGAAGAAGGUUUUCGGAUCGUAAAACUCUGUUGUUAGAGAAGAACAAGGAUGAGAGUAACUGUUCAUCCCUUGACGGUAUCUAACCAGAAAGCCACGGCUAACUACGUGCCAGCAGCCGCGGUAAUACGUAGGUGGCAAGCGUUGUCCGGAUUUAUUGGGCGUAAAGCGAGCGCAGGCGGUUUCUUAAGUCUGAUGUGAAAGCCCCCGGCUCAACCGGGGAGGGUCAUUGGAAACUGGGAGACUUGAGUGCAGAAGAGGAGAGUGGAAUUCCAUGUGUAGCGGUGAAAUGCGUAGAUAUAUGGAGGAACACCAGUGGCGAAGGCGGCUCUCUGGUCUGUAACUGACGCUGAGGCUCGAAAGCGUGGGGAGCAAACAGGAUUAGAUACCCUGGUAGUCCACGCCGUAAACGAUGAGUGCUAAGUGUUGGAGGGUUUCCGCCCUUCAGUGCUGCAGCUAACGCAUUAAGCACUCCGCCUGGGGAGUACGACCGCAAGGUUGAAACUCAAAGGAAUUGACGGGGGCCCGCACAAGCGGUGGAGCAUGUGGUUUAAUUCGAAGCAACGCGAAGAACCUUACCAGGUCUUGACAUCCUUUUGACCACUCUAGAGAUAGAGCUUCCCCCUUCGGGGGGCAAAGUGACAGGUGGGUGCAUGGGUUUGUCGUCAGCUCGUGUCGUGAGAUGUUGGGCUUAAGUCCCGCAAACGAGCGGCACCAUAUGCUAGGCUGCCAUCAAUUU
rnacentral:rRNA from 1 species